rnacentral:misc_RNA from 1 species
AACUAUCAAAACACACCUGAAUUCUUGGGGGUGUUUUGGACUUUGGGAGUGUUUUGCUGGUCUCCUUUGAGCCCAGCUCUCCUCAAAAGCAUUAUCUUUGGAGACUGUCAGCAUGAUAACUUUGUUUGAGCUGAGUCUCUAAUGUAUAUAUAUAUAUAUAUGCCCC